AUGUGUGUUCGCGCGCAUCACUUGGCACGAAAUCCUCUCGUGGUGCUCCCCGACAACCACUCUACCGGACGGCAACCUUGGCUCUCUAGAGCCACUCUCCUCCUCCCGGCUGCGCGGAGUCGAGGCCUCGCCACCAUCGCCUCCCUCACUGCAUGGUCCCUUUGGCGGCACCGGAACACGAUCAUCUUCGACAAGAUUACCCCCUCCUCCUCCUCCCUGAUCGCUGCGAUCAAAGAUGAAGCUCGCUCCAGGGCUACCGCGGGAGCUCGAGGACUCGCUGCGAGUAAUUUUGUAACCUGA
rnacentral:rRNA from 1 species